CCCGACCCUCAUGUUUUUAAAGAGAAUUGGAAUCCUAUGUGAAUAAGGUGGGAAAACUGGAAAGAUUGAAUGUCCUUUGGAGUUCACAGAGGUUUGGCAGUGGGAGGAGAAAAACAAAACGAAGCAUAGUGGGAG
rnacentral:lncRNA from 1 species